UUCCCUACAUGAGGCUCUUACGAUCAGUAAUUAUGAAAAUUAAGUUUCAAAAAAUGCUCGUCAAUAUUCUCCAUCGAUACAGAGCUUGUGUAGUAGCUGCCAUUGGGCAAAUUUGGUUUUUCCAAUGAUUGAAUGAAAUAUCAUAUUUCUAGCGCGGUCCGUAAAUCUAAACAUAUAUGUUUAUGUAUGUAAAUCCUUAAACCUACUCUUGAAUUAUGAUAUUUCAAUUGG